rnacentral:tRNA from 1 species
AAGGGAUUAGUUAAAUAAUAAUAUUAGUUUGUCAGAUUAAAGUUGGGGCUUUCAUUCCUUU